AAUCAGAGGUUAGCUUAACAAAACGCACUCGCGUACAAAUUCUUAAACGCACUAUUCCAGUGAGUUACACGAUCAGCUACGAAGAGUACAACAAAUACAACUAAUCUAAUAAUAAGAAAUAGCCUGGAUACAAACUAAGGCCUGGCUUCUCAUUAGCAUGAAGCCCUCACGAUGCAGCUUGUUGAUGCUCCCUGUCGAUCUGAAACCGCAACACAAGUCGACUGACCUAUCUGGAAAUGGAGUGAUGAUGUGGCAUUUCUCGAGCUCCCCCCUGACACAGAUCAGCUCCUUCAUGUCUACAGUCUGAAUAUGGGAGACUUCAAGGAUGUGGUUAAGCAGGGUGGUUGAGCCAUCAACAUAAUGAACUGAACAGCAGAAGAUUCCCCCAAUAAUGGGUGGAAGAAAUCCAACCCGAGAGCUGGUGAGGAUGAAUAGCUGUACCUGCUGUGCUUCCUGUUGCAUUUCAUCGUGACCCAAAUCUGCCUCCGUUAUGCAAAAUCCAAGAUUUAGUUAAAAGACUUGACCCAGACAGCAGGUCUUUGCACAGGUUAAUGGGGUGUUGGAGAAGAGCAGCAUGUCAGAAGUGACGUUCAACAACAUGAUCGGUACUGCACCUGCAUGUCAUUCACAGCAUCCACAGUGUGUACCCCGGGAAACCUCAUGCAGCUCGACAGCAACACAGGGGGAGCCAGUUUUACUCAUUUUCAAAAACAUGUGGGCUUCACUGUUACGUUCCAGACACGUGCUGUAAUGAUGAUGUACAAAGCUAUCGUUAUUUAUUGUAGGCCUUGUCAUACCUUCAAGCUGUUCCAACAUGUUUUUUCUUGUGUACCUCCCAGUAAUUGCUUUCACAGUGGCAGGGGCGGAGGUGUCUGGAUUCCUCUGAAGGGGUUACAGUUUUUGUGAUUGUAUUGCAUCAUCAGUGGCUGCAUCUCAUCUUAAAUAUCUGCAUGUUUCCUGUAGUUCUGUCAGCCAUCAGUGGGUCUCUGCCUGCUGAUGUGUGCGUGUAGUUCCAGUUAACGAAGCUUGUUGCUUGACAUGAAUUUCAAAUAAUUGUAAUAAA